rnacentral:misc_RNA from 1 species
GAAAUGCGAUAAGUAAUGUGAAUUGCAGAAUUCAGUGAAUCAUCGAAUCUUUGAACGCACCUUGCGCUCCUUGGUAUUCCGAGGAGCAUGCCUGUUUGAGUGUCAUGGAAUUCUCAACUUAUAAAUCCUUGUGAUCUAUAAGCUUGGACUUGGAGGCUUGCUGGCCCUUGUUGGUCGGCUCCUCUUGAAUGCAUUAGCUCGAUUCCGUACGGAUCGGCUCUCAGUGUGAUAAUUGUCUACGCUGUGACCGUGAAGUGUUUUGGCGAGCUUCUAACCGUCCAUUAGGACAACUUUUUAACAUCUGACCUCAAAUCAGGUAGGACUACCCGCUGAACUUAA